rnacentral:rRNA from 1 species
AGAGUUUGAUCAUGGCUCAGAAUCAACGCUGGCGGCGUGCCUAACACAUGCAAGUCGAGCGCGAAUGGGGAGCAAUCCCCUAGUAGAGCGGCGAACGGGUGAGUAACACGUGGGUGAUCUGCCUCCGAGUGGGGAACAACAGCGGGAAACUGCUGCUAAUACCGCAUGACAUCAUCGGGUCACAGCGAUGAUCAAAGCCGGGGACCGCAAGGCCUGGCGCUUGGAGAGGAGCCCGCGUCCGAUUAGCUAGUUGGCGGGGUAAUGGCCCACCAAGGCUUCGAUCGGUAGCCGGCCUGAGAGGGCGGACGGCCACACUGGGACUGAGACACGGCCCAGACUCCUACGGGAGGCAGCAGUGGGGAAUUUUUCGCAAUGGGGGAAACCCUGACGAAGCAACGCCGCGUGGGGGAUGAAGGUCUUCGGAUUGUAAACCCCUGUCGACCGGGACGAAAGCAUCCGACCUAACACGUCGGCAUGUUGACUGUACCGGUGAGGAG